GACGAACGCUGGCGGCGUGCUUAACACAUGCAAGUCGAGCGGAGCGGCGAACGGGUGAGUAACGCGUGAGUAACUGCCCCCCUCUCUGGGAUAACAGUUGGAAACGGCUGCUACUACCGGAUAGUGGGGGAUGACUCGCGUCCAAUCAGCUUGUUGGUGGGGUAGUGGCAUACCAAGGCGACGAAGGGUAGCCGGCCUGUGAGGGCGACCGGCCACAUUGGGCUGAGAUACGGCCCAAACUCCGACGGGAGGCAGCAGUGGGGAAUAUUGCACAAUGGUGGAAACCCUGAUGCAGCAACGCGCGUGCGGGAUGUCGGCCUUCGGGUUGUAAACCGCUUUCAACCAUGACGCGUUAGUGGCAGAAGAAGCACCGGCUAACUACGUGCCAGCAGCCGCGGUAAUUC
rnacentral:rRNA from 1 species